CUUGGUCAUUUAGAGGAAGUAAAAGUCGUAACAAGGUUUCCGUAGGUGAACCUGCGGAAGGAUCAUUAGUGAAUUGAGCUGGCUUCGGCCGCUCUGAUCUAUACACACCCGUGAACUGUUGGCCUUCGGGUCUUUAAUUACAACUGUGACGAACGUAAAUUAUUAUAACAAAUAAAACUUUUAACAACGGAUCUCUUGGCUCUCGCAUCGAUGAAGAACGCAGCGAAAUGCGAUAAGUAAUGUGAAUUGCAGAAUUCAGUGAAUCAUCGAAUCUUUGAACGCACCUUGCGCCCGUUGGUAUUCCGACGGGCAUGCCUGUUUGAGUGUCGUGAACAACCUCAACCUUGAUUGGUUUUACCAUCAAGGCUUGGACUUGGGUGUUGCUGCUGCAAAGUGGCUCGCCUUAAAACUAUUAGCUGGACUUGUCUAUGACUUGGUUCGACUCGAUGUAAUAAGUAUUCAUCGGGGACAGGGUUAAACCUGGCCAAGGCUUGAUGCCGUCUGCUUCUAAUCAUGUUCUCACUAUGAGACGCUACUUUACUGUGUGGCCUCAAAUCAGGUAGGAUUACCCGCUGAACUUAAGCAUAUCAAUAAGCGGAGGAAAAGAAACUAACAAGGAUUCCCCUAGUAACGGCGAGUGAAGCGGGAUGAGCUCAAAUUUGUAAUCUGGUGGACUCAGUUCAUCCGAAUUGUAAUCUAUAGAAAAGUUUUCCGCGCUGGACCGUGUCUAAGUCCCUUGGAACAGGGUGUCAGAGAGGGUGAGAAUCCCGUGCUUGAUACGACCACCAGUGCUAUGUGAUACUUUUUCAACGAGUCGAGUUGUUUGGGAAU
rnacentral:sRNA from 1 species